GGGAAUUUGUUUUAAACUCUGAGAAAUGGACAUGAGUGCAUUCACCCCCUAAUCAGGAUAUAUUCAGCGUAGCUCACAGGGAGAGUGUGGAUAAGCCUGAAGUAUUCUACAGGGAUGGCUGUGCUAAUCUGGGGAGUGUCUGCUCUGUUUCUAGAGCUAGCUCUCUGCACCUGGUACCCCAAUUAACCCAUAUAAAACUAUCCUUCACUAUGCUGUACUUCUGCAUGCAGCAAUAUGAAUAGGAAUCAGAAAUGACCUGCGUGUAUUGAAUUAAACCAUGAUUUUCCAGUGAUCUCAGCAGCAGCAGCAGAAUGGAGACGUUUUAAUCAUUGUAUUAUCAGUUUGUGAGGAGGACAUCGAAACAGUGGAGCCCCUCCAAACUGCAGAAUCCGGGAGUCAGACAAAAUACUUUCCACCACCUUAUUUUUAAGAUAUUUAUGAAGACGGCAUACAGGCUCUUGUUCAUUGCUGGCAAAAAUGCACAGCUAAUGGUGUGAAAAUCAGUACCUCCAGAUGGUGAAGAGCUGUUCGGGGUGUCCUUCCUCACCUAUACAGAAGGAUGGUGAGAAUGCAAUGGCCCUCUGAUGCUCUCUGAAGGCCUGGUGAAAAGAUUCCAUCUGCACCAGCCUCUGAAGGAGAGCCCUUAAGGAACACAAUGUAGACCCACCCAAAAUCUUCCAGGAAUAUCUGCCAGGCAGAAAUAUUCCUCCAGGACACGCACGCAAGGUCUUUUUUGUGAAAGGUUCCAGUUGCUCUUACUUUUCACCUGUUUGCCCUGAGGUCUUGGGGGCUGGAGAAGAGAGCCAUUAGCACCCAAGAGCCCUACAAUUAUGUCAAAAUGGCACCCUGACUCUCUGUCUGUGCUGCAUUUUGCAAGAUGUGUAUCCCAAAGAUGGGAAAUUCUGCAGAGUAUUUCUAACCACAAAAGACAAACUGUAUGUCCCGUCCCUUGUGUUCCUUCUUCAAGAGGCUCAGCUGUGUUGCACAAGACCAGAUGUUACGUGCUGCAAAAUCAUGACUUCACGUACUCUCUGAAAUCUGUGAUGCUGAUGUUAGAAAAUUCAAGGAGCUAACGAGGAAAUAGAUGCUAGUGCUUAAUGCCUUAUUUUUGUACUUCUCUUUGCUCAUGGAUCACUCUUAGUGCAAAGAUCAAAAUUAAAGUAUGUCUCAACAGAUUCCUGUUUGGUCUCAGUGAUCUGCAGAUCAGGAAGACAUGAAUAAUAUGCUGCGAUUGGACAAGUAUAAUGGAAACAUUUCAUUGACGUACCUGGUGAUGCCUGAGAAUCCCAGCUUUCAGACGAGGCCCUCAGCUCUUUAUCUGAGCUCUAAUGUUUUGUUGAUGAAUGAUCACAUUGCAGUUUUGAAAAGUGCACAGAGACAACCCCAGGUUUGUAACUAGCAUUCACUUUGUUAACACAUAAUAUAAUAUGGAGGGUUGUUGCUGACUGAAGCUUGGCUGUUAAUGUUUUCCUGCAUAGCCACUACACUUACAGGCACCUAAUUUAUCUGAAAACAGUUUUUAGGAUUCUGAGAGAGAUGUUAAAUAAAACUAGAUUACAUUUUUCCAUUCUGUUUCACAUACAAAUCUCUAUAAAUAUAAACCAAUUCUGUGUGUGUAGUUUGAAAGUAAGCCUUGCUAGUGAGUACUUUUAGAGGGUUUUUCACAUCCUUACUUAGGGGCAGUAUCAUUUCUCCAUUCAACAUGAAGAACAUACUGGAAGAGACUGGAAAAUCUGCAAAAAUUACAGCUGUACCUCAAUAAGUAACUCAACUCACAGGUACAACUCUGCUGCAGCACUUUCCCGAACACAUAUCUCUAGUGCAAAAGUCAUUUUGGCACAAGAACUUUUUCCAUGCUAGCACGUCCUCAUUGGUUAUCAACAGAAUCAAAUGUUAUUUAUUCAAGCAGUAGUUAACAAGCAGGGGUUUAAUUACCCUAGAGCCUGUAGGCUGUUCCCUACAAAAUGCAAUCUCACGUUAGGACUUAAUUAUUUUUUGAAGAAUAAAAAGAUCUUGACAAGAAGAUAAGUAUGAGCUCAGGGAACCAGAGGUCCUGGUCCAAGUCAUUUUCCUCUGCUGAUUAUGGAUUUGGUGAAAAUCAAAUUUAAUUUUGGUGAAUUAAAAUUUCUGACAGAGCCAGACUCUUUGAAUGCUAAGUCAAAUAAAGAGCUCCAUGUGCUGAGUUAAUAAUUUUCUGGAAAAAUUAAUACCAAUUAAUGAGACCACCAAAUGCCUGUGCAAACCUUCAGUAAUAUACAGAAAGGGAUAUGAGAUACGAGCAUUUUGAGAACAAGAUGUAUUUUCCAUUUACUCACCACUUAUCCAAGGGACCACUUUUCUUUGUCCUCUUGUCUAGUCAGAUUGUUUUUUCUCCCGAAAAAAAAAAGUAAAUAAUGUAAAUCGUAUAUAUACACGUAUAUAUGUGUAAUGUACAAAAUGGUCAUUAACUACACAUCUAACUUGAGCAAAAAUUUGGUGGUC